UCGCCUGUUUAUCAAAAACAUCGCCUCUUGACAAAAUAUAAGAGGUCCCGCCUGCCCACUGAUAAGUUUAACGGCCGCGGUACUCUGACCGUGCAAAGGUAGCACAAUCACUUGUCCUCUAAUUAAGGACCGGAAUCAACGGCAUCACGAAGGUCUUACUGUCUCCCUUUUCCAAUCAGUGAAACUGAUCUUCCCGUGAAGAAGCGGGAAUAACUUUAUAAGACGAGAAGACCCCAUGGAGCUUCAAACUCAAUAGUUACUCCACCCCCACAAACUACAAGAUAAUCUAGGAAGAUAACUAUUAAUUUUGGGUUGGGGUGACCACGGAGAAUAAUCUAACCUCCACAAUGAAAGAAUAUUAUUCUUAUCCAUGAGCAACACCUCUAAGAAUUAAUAAAUUAACAUAUAAUGAUCCGAUUCUCGCUAUUCGAUCAAUGAACCAAGUUACCCUGGGGAUAACAGCGCCAUCCACUUUGAGAGUUCAUAUCGACAAGUGGGUUUACGACCUCGAUGUUGGAUCAGGGUAUCCCAGUGGUGCAGCCGCUACUAAAGGUUCGUUUGUUCAACGAUUAAAACCCUAC
rnacentral:rRNA from 1 species